rnacentral:rRNA from 1 species
GUGAAAGCCGUAAGCCGCAAGGCAUCUGUGAAGGUGCUGCAUGGUUGUCGUCAGCUCGUGCCGUGAGGUGUCGGCUUAAGUGCCAUAACGAGCGCAACCCUUGUUGUCAGUUACUAACAGGUUCCGCUGAGGACUCUGACAAGACUGCCAUCGUAAGAUGUGAGGAAGGUGGGGAUGACGUCAAAUCAGCACGGCCCUUACGUCCGGGGCUACACACGUGUUACAAUGGGGGGUACAGAGGGCCGCUACCACGCGAGUGGAUGCCAAUCCCCAAAACCUCUCUCAGUUCGGACUGGAGUCUGCAACCCGACUCCACGAAGCUGGAUUCGCUAGUAAUCGCGCAUCAGCCACGGCGCGGUGAAUACGUUCCCGGGCCUUGUACACACCGCCCGUCAAGCCAUGGGAGCCGGGGGUACCUGAAGUGCGUAACCGCGAGGAGCGCCCUAGGGUAAAACUGGUGACUGGGGCUAAGUCGUAACAAGGUAGCCGUACCGGAAGGUGC